GCCUUAAUGGUUGCAGCCUGAUCCGUCAGGCUGAUGGCUGGUGACUUUUUGGUCACCAGCCU
rnacentral:sRNA from 1 species